UCUGAAGCUUUCGUUCGAUUUCUUCUCUAAAUUUUGCAGAGUUAUCCUGUCAGGCAUCAUUUCUGAGACAUGAUUGUAUUGUCUCAGGAAAGCCUGUGCUAAAUCCCUCCAAGUAGCAAUUUUAGCUCGGCUCAGCUGAUUGUACCACUUUGACGCCGCUCCCGUAAGACUUUCCUGAAAGCAAUGUAUUAAUAAUUGAUCAUUAUUAAUAUACCCCGUCAUUCUUCUACAAAACAUAGUAAUAUGGGAUCCUGGGCAACUAGUCCCGUUGUAUUUCUCGAAUUCCGGCAUCUUAAAUUUGUAAGGGAGCACCAAGUCCGGAACCAAGCUC
rnacentral:lncRNA from 1 species